UAGGUAUAUAUGCAGUUGCUGCUAUGUUUAUUGUACGUACAGGCGUUGGGGGUAUUAACCGAGGAAAAAGAAACGAUGCGAAAGAGGAACAAUGUUAUAUGUCAUGUAUUUAUAUAUUGUUUCAAUCGAAGAAAUAUGUACAAUAAAGUAAAAUAAAAUAUUGUAUCGCAAGAGAAAAUAAGAUGUUACUGCGAGCAACUAAUCC
rnacentral:lncRNA from 1 species